rnacentral:rRNA from 1 species
UUUGAUCAUGGCUCAAGACGAACGCUGGCGGCGUGCUUAACACAUGCAAGUCGAACGAUGAAGCGGUGCUUUGCACCGUGGAUUAGUGGCGAACGGGUGAGUAAUACGUGAGUCGGCCUACCUUUGACUCUGGGAUAAGCCUGGGAAACUGGGUCUAAUACCGGAUACGAUCAAUCUCUGCAUGGGGUGUUGGUGGAAAGCGUUAUGGAGUGGUUUUAGAUGGGCUCACGGCCUAUCAGCUUGUUGGUGAGGUAAUGGCUUACCAAGGCGACGACGGGUAGCCGGCCUGAGAGGGUGACCGGCCACACUGGGACUGAGACACGGCCCAGACUCCUACGGGAGGCAGCAGUGGGGAAUAUUGCACAAUGGGCGCAAGCCUGAUGCAGCGACGCCGCGUGAGGGAUGACGGCCUUCGGGUUUGUAAACCUCUGUUAGCAUCGAAGAAGCGAAAGUGACGGUAGGUGCAGAGAAAGCGCCGGCUAACUACGUGCCAGCAGCCGCGGUAAUACGUAGGGCGCGAGCGUUGUCCGGAAUUAUUGGGCGUAAAGAGCUUGUAGGCGGUUGGUCGCGUCUGCUGUGAAAGGCCGGGGCUUAACUCCGGUUUUGCAGUGGGUACGGGCUAACUAGAGUGCAGUAGGGGAGACUGGAAUUCCUGGUGUAGCGGUGGAAUGCACAGAUAUCAGGAGGAACACCGAUGGCGAAGGCAGGUCUCUGGGCUGUAACUGACGCUGAGAAGCGAAAGCAUGGGGAGCGAACAGGAUUAGAUACCCUGGUAGUCCAUGCCGUAAACGUUGGGCACUAGGUGUGGGGGACAUUCCACGUUUUCCGCGCCGUAGCUAACGCAUUAAGUGCCCCGCCUGGGGAGUACGGCCGCAAGGCUAAAACUCAAAGGAAUUGACGGGGGCCCGCACAAGCGGCGGAGCAUGCGGAUUAAUUCGAUGCAACGCGAAGAACCUUACCAAGGCUUGACAUGCAUUAGAUCGCGUCAGAGAUGGCGUUUCCCUUCGGGGCUGGUGUACAGGUGGUGCAUGGUUGUCGUCAGCUCGUGUCGUGAGAUGUUGGGUUAAGUCCCGCAACGAGCGCAACCCUCGUUCUAUGUUGCCAGCGGUUCGGCCGGGGACUCAUAGGAGACUGCCGGGGUCAACUCGGAGGAAGGUGGGGAUGACGUCAAAUCAUCAUGCCCCUUAUGUCUUGGGCUUCACGCAUGCUACAAUGGCCGGUACAGAGGGUUGCGAUACUGUGAGGUGGAGCUAAUCCUUUAAAGCCGGUCUCAGUUCGGAUUGGGGUCUGCAAACUCGACCCCAAGAAGUCGGAGUCGCUAGUAAUCGCUGUUCGGCAAACGCUGCGGUGUAAUACGUUUCCCGG